UACGUAGGGUGCAAGCGUUGUCCGGAAUUAUUGGGCGUAAAGAGCUCGUAGGCGGUUUGUCGCGUCUGCUGUGAAAACCCGAGGCUCAACCUCGGGCCUGCAGUGGGUACGGGCAGACUAGAGUGCGGUAGGGGGAGAUUGGAAUUCCUGGUGUAGCGGUGGAAUGCGCAGAUAUCAGGAGGAACACCAAUGGCGAAGGCAGAUCUCUGGACCGUAACUGACGCUGAGACACGAAAGCGUGGGUAGCAAACAGG
rnacentral:rRNA from 1 species